UUAAAUUGAAGAGUUUGAUCAUGGCUCAGAUUGAACGCUGGCGGCAGGCCUAACACAUGCAAGUCGAACGGUAACAGGAAGCAGCUUGCUGCUUUGCUGACGAGUGGCGGACGGGUGAGUAAUGUCUGGGAAACUGCCCGAUGGAGGGGGAUAACUACUGGAAACGGUAGCUAAUACCGCAUAACGUCGCAAGACCAAAGAGGGGGACCUUCGGGCCUCUUGCCAUCGGAUGUGCCCAGAUGGGAUUAGCUAGUAGGUGGGGUAAAGGCUCACCUAGGCGACGAUCCCUAGCUGGUCUGAGAGGAUGACCAGCCACACUGGAACUGAGACACGGUCCAGACUCCUACGGGAGGCAGCAGUGGGGAAUAUUGCACAAUGGGCGCAAGCCUGAUGCAGCCAUGCCGCGUGUAUGAAGAAGGCCUUCGGGUUGUAAAGUACUUUCAGCGGGGAGGAAGGGAGUAAAGUUAAUACCUUUGCUCAUUGACGUUACCCGCAGAAGAAGCACCGGCUAACUCCGUGCCAGCAGCCGCGGUAAUACGGAGGGUGCAAGCGUUAAUCGGAAUUACUGGGCGUAAAGCGCACGCAGGCGGUUUGUUAAGUCAGAUGUGAAAUCCCCGGGCUCAACCUGGGAACUGCAUCUGAUACUGGCAAGCUUGAGUCUCGUAGA
rnacentral:rRNA from 1 species